rnacentral:rRNA from 1 species
AUUGAACGCUGGCGGCAUGCCUUACACAUGCAAGUCGAACGGCAGCACGGGAGCAAUCCUGGUGGCGAGUGGCGAACGGGUGAGUAAUAUAUCGGAACGUGCCCAGUAGUGGGGGAUAACUGCUCGAACGAGCAGCUAAUACCGCAUACGAACUGCGGGUGAAAGGGGGGGAUCGCAAGACCUCUCGCUAUUGGAGCGGCCGGUAUCAGAUUAGCUAGUUGGUGGGGUAAAGGCCUACCAAGGCAACGAUCUGUAGUUGGUCUGAGAGGACGACCAGCCACACUGGGACUGAGACACGGCCCAGACUCCUACGGGAGGCAGCAGUGGGGAAUUUUGGACAAUGGGCGCAAGCCUGAUCCAGCAAUGCCGCGUGCAGGAAGAAGGCCUUCGGGUUGUAAACUGCUUUUGUCAGGGAAGAAAUCCUCUAGGUUAAUACCCUUGGGGGGAUGACGGUACCUGAAGAAUAAGCACCGGCUAACUACGUGCCAGCCGCCGCAGUAACAC